GUUAAGUUAAGUAAGUUAAGUUAAGUUGUUAAGUCCGUCAACCUUGUUUUGAAGGCCUGUUCGCAGGCUAGAACAGCUUUAAAACAAGAUGGCGUCUUUCGAAAAGCUUUCAAGAGUAGUAAUCAUUAGUAAUCGUGGUAUUAAACUAUUAAUAGACUUUAUCCUGACUUUAUUUUGAUAAAAUCUUCUUCUAUAGCAGUCUUUUUGAUAUAACUCUUACAGUCAAACCGGAUGUUCUGUUCCCAUGAGUAUUGCAACAUUGCAAUCAAUCUUGCAAUGUUGAUUGCAAAUUGCUCCGAGCAAAUUACACGCAAGUAUUCAACUGUCAUUUUUUCAAGCUCCUAUCACUCCCGUGUUGGGGAAAGGGAAUAACAAAUCAAAAGGACUAAUAUUGUGCCUACCACUUGACAAAUUAAAGGUAAACUGGAAUGUAUAGAGGAUAUUUAUACAUGGUUGUGCGGAAAUAUGUAAUUUAUUUCGAGUGUUGAAGAGAACUAUUGCUAACGAGUGAGCGUAGCAAAUUGCAAGUUGUUCCAUUAUGUGAUUUAAUAAUCUAAAUUUUUGAGUAAGGUCAUGGACAUAUUGUAAUUAUUAUGAGUAUUUACUAUUUUAUCUUCGUAUCAAACCAAAUAUAUAGCAUUGCGAGCUUUAAUUGGU